GACGAACGCUGGCGGCGUGCUUAACACAUGCAAGUCGAACGGCAAGGCACUGCUUUCGUGGGGUGCCCGAGUGGCGAACGGGUGAGUAACACGUGAGUAACCUGCUCUUGACUUUGGGGUAACUUCAGGAAACUGGGGCUAAUACCGUAUAGCAGCCCCUGCUGCAUGGUGGGGGGUGGAAAGUUUCGGCGGUUGGGGCUGGACUCGCGGCUUAUCAGCUUGUUGGUGGGGGAGUGGCUUACCAAGGCUUUGACGGGUAGCCGGCCUGAGAGGGUGGCCGGCCACAUUGGGACUGAGAUACGGCCCAGACUCCUACGGGAGGCAGCAGUGGGGAGUAUUGCACAAUGGGCGGAAGCCUGAUGCAGCAACGCCGCGUGCGGGAUGACGGCCUGCGGGUUGUAAACCGCUUUCGCCUGUGACGAAGCGUGAGUGACGGUAAUGGGUAAAGAAGCACCGGCUAACUACGUG
rnacentral:rRNA from 1 species